rnacentral:rRNA from 1 species
ACCAGCAGGCAUCACCCUCUCUCAACUGUUAGCCCAAUGAAGCUAAACAGGGUUGAGCCUGGUUGGUACCUGGAUGGGAGACCUCCUGGGAAGCUAUGGUUGCUGCUGGAA